rnacentral:misc_RNA from 1 species
UACGGAGGGUGCAAGCGUUGUUCGGAUUUAUUGGGCGUAAAGCGAGUGUAGGCGGUUUGACAAGUCGGAUGUGAAAUCCCCGGGCCCUACCCUGGAACUGCAUCCGAUACUGUCAGGCUAGAGUCCCGGAGAGGGUGGCGGAAUUCCCGGUGUAGGGGUGAAAUCCGUAGAUAUCGGGAGGAACACCAGUGGCGAAGGCGGCCACCUGGACGGUGACUGACGCUCAGACUCGAAAGCGUGGGUAGCAAACAGG